rnacentral:rRNA from 1 species
UACGAAGGGGGCUAGCGUUGCUCGGAAUCACUGGGCGUAAAGCGCACGUAGGCGGCUUUUUAAGUCAGGGGUGAAAUCCUGGAGCUUAACUCCAGAACUGCCUUUGAUACUGAAGAGCUUGAGUCCGGGAGAGGUGAGUGGAACUGCGAGUGUAGAGGUGAAAUUCGUAGAUAUUCGCAGGAACACCAGUGGCGAAGGCGGCUCACUGGCCCGGUACUGACGCUGAGGUGCGAAAGCGUGGGGAGCAAACAGG